GCAAGUCGAGCGGACAGAUGGGAGCUUGCUCCCUGAUGUUAGCGGCGGACGGGUGAGUAACACGUGGGUAACCUGCCUGUAAGACUGGGAUAACUCCGGGAAACCGGGGCUAAUACCGGAUGCUUGUUUGAACCGCAUGGUUCAAACAUAAAAGGUGGCUUCGGCUACCACUUACAGAUGGACCCGCGGCGCAUUAGCUAGUUGGUGAGGUAACGGCUCACCAAGGCAACGAUGCGUAGCCGACCUGAGAGGGUGAUCGGCCACACUGGGACUGAGACACGGCCCAGACUCCUACGGGAGGCAGCAGUAGGGAAUCUUCCGCAAUGGACGAAAGUCUGACGGAGCAACGCCGCGUGAGUGAUGAAGGUUUUCGGAUCGUAAAGCUCUGUUGUUAGGGAAGAACAAGUACCGUUCGAAUAGGGCGGUACCUUGACGGUACCUAACCAGAAAGCCACGGCUAACUACGUGCCAGCAGCCGCGGUAAUACGUAGGUGGCAAGCGUUGUCCGGAAUUAUUGGGCGUAAAGGGCUCGCAGGCGGUUUCUUAAGUCUGAUGUGAAAGCCCCCGGCUCAACCGGGGAGGGUCAUUGGAAACUGGGGAACUUGAGUGC
rnacentral:rRNA from 2 species